CUGACAUCGCAGAGCCAGCAGAACCUUACUGGACUCCUCCUUGCUCCUGGUCGUUUCGUUCUAAUCUUUGAAAUUCCUUGACUUACACCUGUGUCGUUCCAGUCUCUGUCUUGGUGUGUACUUGGCAGGUCCCGGACUAGCACCUAUGUCACCGCCCGGUUUUCCUGUAAGGACACCAACCAUCUGACUGACUCCAGUGUAGAGUAACUUCAUUUAAAAUAGAUUUUUUGUCAUUUUGAAAUGAAGCCAUCUUCUAAGGUUUUCAAGCAGAUGUGACUCUGAGGAAAUCACCGUGUAACCUGGUUUAACAAGAAACUUAACACUGCAGGAGAGCAGAGCAGAGCGUGCCGGAAUAAGCAGAGGAAGCAGCAAGGAGAGACCGAAGUCAGCUACAACUCGUAACAGACAGAGUACAAAGGAAAGACCAUGUUGGGGAAAGUGCCAGAGCUAAUGACUAAAAGCCAGGAGCCACUGAAUCUACAAGACUCGGGCAGUUUCAGUCGUUGCCUGGUGCCAACGUCCCUCGAGGUCCUUACCACUCCCUGAACUUAAAGCAACCUGGCAGCAGAUGCAAACUCCUGGUUCCUUCUCCAGCACCAUGUCAGCCUGUUCACAGACAUGGUUCCCACCAUGAUGAUAAUGGACAAAACUUCUGAAGUGUAAACCAGCACCAAUUAAAUGUUUUUCUUCAUAAGA